CCUACGGGUGGCAGCAGUGGGGAAUAUUGGACAAUGGGGGGAACCCUGAUCCAGCCAUGCCGCGUGUGUGAAGAAGGCCCUCGGGUUGUAAAGCACUUUCAGUGAGGAAGAACGCCUGGUGGUUAAUACCCAUCAGGAAAGACAUCACUCACAGAAGAAGCACCGGCUAACUCCGUGCCAGCAGCCGCGGUAAUACGGAGGGUGCGAGCGUUAAUCGGAAUUACUGGGCGUAAAGCGCGCGUAGGUGGCUUGAUAAGCCGGUUGUGAAAGCCCCGGGCUCAACCUGGGAACGGCAUCCGGAACUGUCAAGCUAGAGUGCAGGAGAGGAAGGUAGAAUUCCCGGUGUAGCGGUGAAAUGCGUAGAGAUCGGGAGGAAUACCAGUGGCGAAGGCGGGCUUCUGGACUGACACUGACGCUGAGGUGCGAAAGCGUGGGUAGCAAACAGGAUUAGAUACCCUGGUAGUC
rnacentral:rRNA from 1 species